CAAUGUCAACUUCCGGUAGCCAUAGUUUUUUUCUUCACUUUAACUUCAAUCGUUACUGUUAGCACUAAAAGUUUACUCACAUUUACUGAUGUAAGUAAUUUCAUCAUUUACUAACAGAAAUACGGUUUCGUGUUUCCCUGUUGCUGAGGGUUUUUUUCUGGUACCUUCGAUACUGGCUGUUUGGUUCACUGAGUGACAAAUUUCGCUUCAACCUCACUUUCACUUCAAUCGUUACUGUUCUCAAUAAAAGUUUACGUUUUCAAUCGAAUCAGUAACCUCCAUUGUUCAUACUUGGGAAUCCAUCUGCGACCCUCCCAGGAAUAUUGGACAAAGAAAAUGGAUGUUUGGAUUAAUGAAAAUAAAAAGUCAUUUGAUUGUGGCCAUGCUGGGGCACCAACUUGAUGAAUUUUAUUCAAACAAAUCGACCCCCAACACUGUUUUUCUUCAAAGCCUGGUCAAAUGCAAGGGAGUGAGCAAAGGAAUGUACAAACUUUUCAGAUCACUCUAUACCUCGAUAUUUCAUGGUCUGCAAGAAAUUUCUCUGCAUUCAUCAGCCGAAGUGUACCAGGAAUAUAUAAUGGAGAAAUACGCGCACUGACCGAUAAGUACAUUCAUAGAUACCAAUACAUACACAAAUUGCCACACAGGCAAUUAAGGGCUAGUUAUAUCCACUAGCCCUUAAUUAUAUUUCAUAAUUAUAUGAUUUGUUGCAUUUUAGAAAGACAAGUAAGGAGUCUAUAUCCUCCUCCAUCAUCACUACAAGAACUGGAGACUGUUUUAGCUGAAGAAUGGACAAAAAUUCCUUUGGAAACAAUUCAAACUUUGCACGAGUCUAUACCUUGUAGAAUUCAAGCUCUAAUUAGUGCCAAAGGCGGUCCUACCCCAUAUUGAAAUAAAUUUGUUUGAAAUUUUAAGUUGUUUCCAUUGUUUUAUCCAACAGGAUUCUUUCAGUUUCCGUCUACUGAAUCCACUCAUAAGGCUUUGGUUGGCCUGAGGCUAUAGUAGAAGACAUGUGUCCAAGG